rnacentral:rRNA from 1 species
AUCGGUGCUUGCACUGAUCCGAUCGAGUGGCGGACGGGUGAGUAACGCGUGAGGAACCUGCCUUGAAGAGGGGGACAACAGUUGGAAACGACUGCUAAUACCGCAUAAGCGCACAGUACCGCAUGGUACAGAGCGAAAAACUCCGGUGGUAUAGGAUGGACCCGCGUCUGAUUGGCUGGUUGGUGAGGUAACGGCCCACCAAGGCGACGAUCAGUAGCCGGCCUGAGAGGGUGAACGGCCACAUUGGGACUGAGAUACGGCCCAGACUCC